rnacentral:rRNA from 1 species
CAGCAGCCGCCGCGGUAAUACGAAGGGUGCAAGCGUUAAUCGGAAUUACUGGGCGUAAAGCGUGCGUAGGCGGUGAGUUAAGUCUGCUGUGAAAUCCCCGGGCUCAACCUGGGAAUGGCAGUGGAUACUGGCUCGCUAGAGUGUGUCAGAGGAUGGUGGAAUUUCCGGUGUAGCAGUGAAAUGCGUAGAGAUCUGGAGGAAUACCGGUGGCGAAGGCGGCCCCCUGGACAAAGACUGACGCUCAGGUGCGAAAGCGUGGGGAGCAAACAGGAUUAGAUACCCCAGUAGUCCCUGUCUCUUAUAC